rnacentral:rRNA from 1 species
AGCGAACGCUGGCGGCAAGCUUAACACAUGCAAGUCGAACGGACGUAGCAAUACGUCAGUGGCAGACGGGUGAAUAACACGUGGGAACCUUCCUCGUAGUACGGAACAACUCAGGGAAACUUGAGCUAAUACCGUAUACGUCUGAGAGGAGAAAGAUCUAUCGCUAUGAGACGGGCCCGCGUCCGAUUAGCUCGUUGGUGGGGUAACGGCCUACCAAGGCAACGAUCGGUAGCUGAUCUGAGAGGAUGAUCAGCCACACUGGGACUGAGACACGGCCCAGACUCCUACGGGAGGCAGCAGUGGGGAAUCUUGGACAAUGGGCGAAAGCCUGAUCCAGCCAUGCCGCGUGAGUGAAGAAGGCCUUAGGGUUGUAAAGCUCUUUUGGCAGGGACGAUAAUGACGGUACCUGCAGAAUAAGCCCCGGCAAACUUCGUGCCAGCCGCCGCUGUAA